UGGUCAAGUUAUUAAGGGUGCAGGGCGGAUGCCUUGGCACUAGGAGCCGAUGAAGGACGUGAUAAGCUGCGAUAAGCUUCGGGGAGUUGCACGUAAACUUUGAUCCGAAGAUUUCCGAAUGAGGAAACUCACUUAGAGUAAUGUCUAAGUAUCAUUAAGUGAAUACAUCGCUUAAUGAGGGGAACUCAGGGAACUGAAACAUCUAAGUACCGGAAGGAAGAGAAAGAAAUUCGAUUCCGUAAGUAGCGGCGAGCGAACGCGGAUUAGCCCAUACCAAUAAAGUUUUCUUUAUUGGGGUUGCGGACAUAUCAUAACGAAGAGGUAUCGUAAUUGAAGAGGUUUGGAAAGACCCACCACAGAAGGUAAUAGUCCUGUAUGUUAAACGAGAAGACUU
rnacentral:rRNA from 1 species